GAAAUUCAUGUACUCCUUCCGACCCAUAUUACUUGUCGCAGAUUUAAUACAGCUACAAGUAAUAUGGAUCGGAGGAAGUAUGUCUUUUU